AUCACAAAAUAACAUCAUGUCACUUUUGGAUAUCUACAUAAUCAUCAAACCGCGUACUCGAUAUUCAUCAUAUAUGUUGGCUUAAAUGGGCCAGCAUCCUAUCUUGUGACGGAAGAUAAUGUUGGAUUGAGUUAUAUUCGAAAUAGCGCGAGAUUGGGUAGGUCGAGUCAUGUUCGAAGUGGCGUGAGGUUGGUUGGGUCGAGUCAUAAUCAAGGCCUGUGGGCGCUGUAUCUCUAUGCUUUAAGUGAAUUAGUUGUGUAUUUCUAACAGCUCAAGCUUUUGGGAUUAAUGGUUAGCACCAACGAUCCGACAAUAUAUACAUACAAUCGUAUCCACUGUCCAAA
rnacentral:lncRNA from 1 species